rnacentral:rRNA from 1 species
UACGAAGGGUGCAAGCGUUAAUCGGAAUUACUGGGCGUAAAGGGUGCGUAGGCGGUUAGUUAAGUCUGUUGUGAAAUCCCCGGGCUCAACCUGGGAAUGGCAAUGGAUACUGGCUGGCUAGAGUGUGUCAGAGGAUGGUGGAAUUCCCGGUGUAGCGGUGAAAUGCGUAGAGAUCGAGAGGAACACCUGCGGCGAAGGCGGGUACCUGGGCCAACACUGACGCUGAGGCGCGAAAGCUAGGGGAGCAAACAGG